rnacentral:rRNA from 1 species
AGCGAACGCUGGCGGCAGGCCUAACACAUGCAAGUCGAACGAACCUUUCGGGGUUAGUGGCGGACGGGUGAGUAACACGUGGGAACGUGCCUUUAGGUUCGGAAUAACUCAGGUAAACUUGUGCUAAUACCGAAUGUGCCCUUCGGGGGAAAGAUUUAUCGCCUUUAGAGCGGCCCGCGUCUGAUUAGCUAGUUGGUUGAGGUAAUGGCUCACCAAGGCGACGAUCAGUAGCUGGUCUGAGAGGAUGAUCAGCCACAUUGGGACUGAGACACGGCCCAAACUCCUACGGGAGGCAGCAGUGGGGAAUCUUGCGCAAUGGGCGAAAGCCUGACGCAGCCAUGCCGCGUGAAUGAUGAAGGUCUUAGGAUUGUAAAAUUCUUUCACCGGGGACGAUAAUGACGGUACCCGGAGAAGAAGCCCCGGCUAACUUCG